CAGUGAACCCAGUGGUCAUAAUCCCCUGGACGGUUCAGGAAACUGGAAAAUAAUCUUCCCAGGACAACAGCUAAUCAGAAGUAAAACUGGGAUGUAAACCUAAGUAUGCCUGAGUCCAAGGAGGGAGACUCCAACAGAGGUUUGCUGACAGGGACACAAAAGCAAGUGAUGCCUUGGAACCAGAUCAAAGAGGGCUCCGAGUGCAUGCUGCACAGAGCAGGCA